rnacentral:RNase_P_RNA from 1 species
CCAGAGGGUCGGGCGACCGCGGGCGGCUUGCCGCGCGAGGAAAGUCCGGGCUCCACAGAGUGAAGGUGCCGGGUAACGCCCGGCGGUCGCGGCGCAAGCCGGGGCAAGGGACAGUGCCACAGAAAACAGACCGCCGCACUUCGGCGCGGCAAGGGCGAAACGGUGCGGCAAGAGCGCACCGCGGCCUUGGCAACAAGGCUGGCAGGGCAAACCCCACCUGGAGCAAGAUCGAAUAGGGACGGCAUAUGGACCUGCUCGGUUCCGUCGUCCGGGUUGAUUGCUGGAGGCUGUCGGCAACGGCAGUCCUAGAGGAAUGGUCGCACAGCGCGGGCAACCGCGUGGACAGAACCCGGCUUACAGACCCUCUGGCGCA